CGGAGCCGCCCGGCGGGGGCUGCGAGUAGCCGCAGGGUCCUCCCCGCCUCCGCCCGCGCUCCCCCGGGAGCCGCGGGUGCUGCGGCCGCUCGACCCCCGCGCUCGGGGGUGUCGGUGGGAAGCCCCUGGCAGGGGACGGGGGUCUGGCGGCGCCUCCGGUGUUUCCAGCCUGGAGGCUCUGGAGGCAGGUCCCUGCCCCCCACGGGAAGGGUUCCAGGAUCAGGAAGAACAGGUCCCAAAUGCCCUGCAGUCGUAGCACGUAGAGAACAUACACGGAACACAAACAGACGCUCCCAAAGGUGUCUGUGAGCUUCCCAAAUCGGAGCACAGCUGGAAUCACCCGGGUUUUGCAUCCUCAGGCUCUGGGGUCAGCGCUGGCGUGGUGGGCAGAGCUGGGAUUGCUGGGAAAACGUGUUGGGAAUGUGUUGGGAGCGUGUCCUGCUCCUCCACCCGCUCGGUCGCUCGGGCAAACACACCAAUAUGGUGCGACAGGACCACCACGUGAGCCCAGGCUGUCGUCUCCCACCCAUCUCCUCCUGUCUUCAUUUUCCAGGUUCGUGGCUGACAGUGAUUCUGGGUCGGGUGUGUGUGGAGAUAUACACACAUAUUGACUUUGGAAAAGUCCUGCUUGACCAGGAGCUGUGUCAUCACAGUGCUCCAGCCUCCCGUGGAGGGUGGCUGGAUGAAUAACAAGGUACUGAUAUCCUGUGACUUAAUUCCUGCGAAUGCCUGGGAAUGAGCUACUAAACCACCCCAGCACAAGCCUGCCUGCAGCAGAUGCUGAAUCAGAGUAAUUAAGAAUUAAAAAAGGUGAUUUCCCUCCCCAAACAGCCGCAGAGGCCUCAAAGUUUAUUAUUAACGUGUCCACCCUGCGUGUGCUGGCACAAAAAGAGGUGUUUGCCCGAUAAA